UGAAACGAUUUGGGCUGUGCUCUCCAGUUUUCACCUGAAGGUCUGCCCCUGCACGCGUCAAAACACCGCACCACACCUAAGGGCAAACGGUAAAAUCACUGCUCACUGCACUCGUAUAGGCACUGCCUCCUUCACAGCAUCUAGUGAAGGAAGACCAACAGAAGUAACCAAAUACCAGGGACAUCGAUAGAUGUGCAUGCAUUUUGAACAUAACCUAGAUCUGAAGCUUAGCUUCAUCACAGGGGAAUCGUAGGCAGGUAGGGUUGGCGCUAACAUCCUUUAUAGGGAAGAAUAUCUGACGGGAAGAUGUGUGGUUCGCUUCUUAGCCAAAGAUGGCUCUUCUCAGCCAUACUCUCCCAAUGUGGUUUGUCACCAAUGCGUGGAAAUUCUCCACAAUCUUCCUUGCUCUUUUAUCCUUUUGUUCUCUACCCAAAGGGUGUCCACAGGGAGUAAGAUCUCUCUGCACACGGUGGGUACCCUCUGCAUGUGAGAUGUCCAUUCCACCUGCGGUAUUCCUCAUACCGUCUAUCCGGCUUGAUCGUGUCCUUUCUUGUGGUCUUUAUCCAGAUGAUGGUGGUUGUAAGCUCUACGAGCAUGACCCUUCAGGGUUCACUUUCAUAGUGACCAUUUUGCUUCUCAAAAUGUAAAUCAAGCAUUCAUGGAACCCUAAGGAACCAACUGCGUUAUUCGUACAUCAGUCCCCUCAAGUACAUACCGUGGCAGGUCAGGAUGAUAGAAGGGCGGUUGGAGGAUACCAGCCGGUACAACUGAUGAGGAGUGUGUCAACAUUCCUGAGAUAAGAUGGGGAAACGACAAAGAUGGGUUCUUCGCUUGAAACUGGUGGUUGGACGCUUGAUGGUAGGAGAUACUGGUAGAGAUGUGCCCAGUUGAUCUGUGAGGGAAAAUGAAAUUAAGCCCAGGCAUGGAAAUAAAUACAGGGGCUUGCUGGCAAACUCAUGUCAACGAGCCCGGCGACCAUUUGACGAGGAGGAGAGAGAGAGACGGCCAGCCAAAGUGAUCACUACUGUAUAGUGCACCAACCUGCAUAGCAACUGUAAGCAUGGGAACAAGAAGAAAUAGCCGUGGACACGGCUCCAAGAACUU